rnacentral:rRNA from 1 species
AGGACGAACGCUGGCGGCGUGCUUAACACAUGCAAGUCACGGGGGUCCCGCAAGGGAUAACCGGCGAACGGGUGCGUAACACGUGAACAACCUGCCCUCGUGUGGGGGAUAGCCGGGCUAACGCCCGGGUAAUACCGCAUACGUUCUCUUUGGGGAGUCCCGAGGAGAGGAAAGCUCCGGCGCACGGGGAGGGGUUCGCGGCCUAUCAGCUAGUUGGCGGGUAAUGGCCCACCAAGGCGACGACGGGUAGCU